AUUGAAUGUCUGAAUGGAGAAUGCAGAACCUUUCCAAGUUGCUGUCCGAGAAGACAAUUGUAUCAUUGUCUCCCUGGAAGCAUCUGAUGUGGUGAGCUCAUCCUCUGUAUAUGUUGUGAAGAUAGCUGGAGAAUCCAAGAACUACUUUUUCCAGUUCGAAGAAUUCAAUAGCACUUUACCUGCCCCUGUGGUUUUUAAUGCCAAAUACCAUGGCCUAUAUUACAUAGUAACUCUGUUGGUAGUGAACUCAAAUAUGGUUUCCAAGUCAGCAAGAUCAAUCACUGUGUUAACCAAACCCCUUCCUGUGAGCAGUGUUUCUAUCUAUGAUUACAAACCAUCUCCAGAAACAGGAGUGUUGUUUGAAAUUCAGUAUCCAGAGAAGUACAAUGUUUUUACCAGGGUAAAUAUAAGCUAUUGGGAAGGAAAAGACUACCGAACAAUGCUGUACAAAGACUUCUUUAAAGGUAAAACAGUUUUCAAUCACUGGCUACCAGGUAUAUGCUACAGUAACAUCACAUUUCAGCUGGUAUCAGAAGCAACCUUCAACAAAAGCACGCUGGUGGAAUACAGUGGGGUCAGUCAUGAACCCAAACAGCACAGAACAGCUCCUUAUCCACCUCGAAACAUUUCUGUCCAGAUUAUACCAAUCAAUAGAAACAACUGGGAAGAGCACAGUGGAAAUUUUCCAGAAGAAUCAUUCAUAGGACCACAACAUAUAAUAGAGAAAGAGAAAAUCAGCCAUUUUUCUACUGAAACACCUGAAACGCUAACAGCAAACACAUCUUCUGGCUGGCCAGAUUACCACUAUAACAGCACCAAGGAUGAAGCUACAUCUCAGCCAUACUGGUGGUCUAACGAAGCUGAAUCAUCAGAGGGCGAAGAGGAGUUUGUCAACGCUACUCCCAAAGAUUAUGAGACCAGUGAAGGGAAUUUGUCGGCAAUGCUAACGCCAGAGCCACCCUCUUUCCUUCCUGUACAAAUGGUGCUCACUUGGUUACCACCAAAGCCUCCGACGGCGUUUGAUGGUUUCCAUAUCAAUAUUGAAAGGGAAGAGAACUCCACAGAAUUUCUGACAGUGAGCGAGGACACUCACAAAUUUGUUGCUGAACUGAAAGAACCAGGAAAAUAUAAGUUGUCUGUAACAACAUUUAGUUCUUCUGGUUCCUGUGAAGUUCGGGAAAGUCAAUCAGCAAAAACACUUAGUUUUUACAUCAGCCCCAAAGGGGAAUGGAUAGAAGAGCUGACGGAAAAGCCCCAGCACGUGACCGUGACGGUGCUGAGCUCCACAACUGCCCUGACAUCCUGGACAGCCUCACAAGAGAGCAGUGGCAACGGUACCAUCGUGUCCGUUGUCUCUCUGACCUGUCAGAAGCAAAAGGAAAGCCAAAGGCUUGAAAAACAUUAUUGCACUGAGGUGAAUUCAAGCAACAGCCUCAUUGAAAAUCUUGUUCCUGGUGCCCAGUACCAGGUUGUGGUUUACUUACGGAAAGGACCGUUGGUUGGACCGCCGUCUGAUCCUGUUAAAUUUUCCAUUGUGCCCACUGGAAUAAAGGAUUUGACACUUUACCCUUUGGGACCUACUGCUGUGGUUUUGAGCUGGAACAGACCUUUACUUGGGGUGUUCAGGAAAUAUGUUGUAGAAAUGUUUUACUUCAACCCAUCAACGAUGACCUCUGAGUGGACAACCUACUAUGAAAUAGCAGCAACCAUCUCCUUAACUGCCUCAGUGAGAAUAGCCAACCUGUUGCCGGCCUGGUAUUACAAUUUCCGGGUUACCAUGGUGACCUGGGGGGAGCCUGAGCUGAGCUGCUGUGACAGCUCCACCAUCAGCUUCAUCACAGCACCAGUCGCACCUGAGAUUACCUCUGUCGAGUACUACAACCACCUUCUGUACAUCAGCUGGAACUAUGGAGGAGAUGGUACAGACCUUUCUCAUUCCAGGAUGCUUCAUUGGAUGGUCAUUGCAGAAGGAAAGAAAAAAAUUAAAAAGAGUGUAACACGCAGCGUGAUGACUGCAGUGUUGAGCUUGCCUCCUGGGGACAUUUACAACCUCUCAGUGACAGCUUGUACUGAAAGAGGCAGCAAUACCUCCCUGCCCCAGCUUGUGAAACUGGAACCAGCCCCUCCAAAAUCACUGUUUGCUGUCAACAAGACUCAGACUUCAGUAACUCUGCUGUGGGUGGAAGAAGGAGUGGCUGAUUUCUUUGAAGUCCAUUGCCAGCAGGCUGGAUCUGGUCAAGUAACAAAAGUCCAGGAACCUAUCACUGUCUCAUCACACGUAGUGACAAUCUCCAGCCUAACCCCUGCCACUUCCUACAACUGCAGCGUGACCACCUUCAGCCACAAUAGUCCCAGUGUCCCCACUUUCAUUGCUGUCUCCACCAUGGUCACUGAGAUGAAUCCCAACGUAGUGGUAAUCUCUGUGCUAGCCAUCCUAAGUAUCCUUCUGAUUGGACUGCUGCUGGUGACUCUUGUUGUACUGAGAAGAAAGCAUCUGCAAAUGGCCCGGGAGUGCGGGGCUGGAACCUUUGUCAAUUUUGCAUCAUUAGAGAGAGAUGGGAAGCUUCCCUAUAAUUGGCGUAGAAGUGUAUUUGCUUUCCUAACUCUGCUACCCUCAUGCCUUUGGACUGAUUAUCUUUUGGCAUUUUAUAUUAAUCCUUGGAGUAAAAAUGGGUUAAAGAAGAGAAAGCUGACCAACCCUGUCCAGUUGGAUGAUUUUGAUGGCUACAUCAAGGAUAUGGCCAAAGAUUCAGAUUAUAAAUUUUCUCUGCAAUUCGAGGAGCUAAAACUGAUUGGGCUUGACAUACCCCACUUUGCUGCGGACCUUCCCAUGAAUCGCUGUAAAAAUCGCUACACAAAUAUCCUACCAUAUGAUUUUAGCCGUGUCCGGUUAGUUUCAAUGAAUGAAGAAGAGGGUUCCGACUAUAUUAAUGCCAACUAUAUUCCUGGUUACAAUUCACCCCAGGAAUACAUUGCAACACAAGGGCCAUUGCCAGAAACUAGGAAUGAUUUUUGGAAGAUGGUUCUUCAACAAAAAUCUCAAAUUAUUGUUAUGCUCACUCAGUGUAAUGAGAAAAGAAGGGUAAAAUGUGACCAUUAUUGGCCUUUUACGGAAGAUCCUAUUGCAUAUGGGGAUAUCACGGUGGAGAUGUUGUCUGAAGAGGAACACACAGAUUGGGUUUAUAGGAAUUUCCGAAUUAGCUAUGCCGAUGAGGUGCAAGACGUGAUGCAUUUUAACUACACUGCCUGGCCUGACCACGGGGUGCCUACAGCCAACGCCACCGAAAGCAUCCUGCAGUUCGUGCAGAUGGUCAGACAGAAGUCAACAAAGAGCAAAGGUCCCAUGAUUAUACACUGCAGUGCUGGAGUUGGACGAACAGGCACCUUCAUAGCCCUGGAUCGGCUCUUACAGCACAUUCGUGAUCAUGAGUUUGUAGAUAUUUUAGGUCUGGUGUCUGACAUGCGGUCCUACAGGAUGUCCAUGGUACAGACAGAGGAACAAUACAUUUUUAUUCACCAGUGUGUGCAAUUGAUGUGGCAAAAGAAGAAGCAGCAAUUCUGUAUCAGCGAUGUCAUAUAUGAGAACGUCAGCAAGUCCUAGUUCAGAAUCACAGGUAGCUCACUCUGAUCUGCAUCCUAGAGCCUGGGUGUUUGCACUGGUGGCCUGUAGUCCCAUCCUGUAUGAGGUGAGACCAUGAAGCACACCCAUCUUCCCUUGCUUCUGAAUUAUUUUUUCUUUGGAUGGUUCUGCCACGAGAGACCACUGCUUUGCAGUACGCGGACAGUGAGAGAAAGAAAGGAAGGAAGAAACUUUACCUUUAGAAGCACUGGGGAGACAAAGCCUUAAAGAGCCUGCGGUGUCUUUUGAACUGUUUAAUUUCUGGACAUUUUUUUAACUACUGGACCAAAUUCAACUAAAUAACACAAAGGAAAAGACACUAUACUAUGUGCAUAAAGUAGAUUGCUCCAGAGUGUUGGGGUUUUUUUCAUUUGGUACUUUUGCUUUAACUUUUUUUUUUUCCUCUCUCUCUGUGCAGGUUGGGCUUAAGGUUAAAGCAAGUGCAAUAUUUUUUUAGUGGUUGAAUGAAGAACUUUCUUCAUGUGUCACUGGUCUGUGCUAAAGUCCAUAGGAGAGCAGGCAUUGUUAGUAUCUAAUAAUACCUCAUUAGUGAAUAGCGAGGCAUGAAUAUACAUGAAGAAAUCUGGAGAUUGUGAUGAGGCAAUUUGGGGAGGGAGGGUACUGGGUACACUGUUUUUAAUUGUUUCCUGCAGCACUGAUGUUCUGCACUUGGGGGAGCAGGGGAAAAUGCAGGACCCUGUGAACCAAUUAAUGGUCAGAAAUCCAAACCAUGAAGCCUAAAGCUAGAGUAGGCAGCCUAUGGUGAGAAAUAUGGUUAUUUUGGUUCUGGACUGUGCUAAUUAAGCAGCAGGAUGGUUCUUUUCUCCAACCUUUUCAGUAAUGCCACUGAUCAGGUUCUUUCUUUUUUUAAGAUAAAGCUAAUCAAAGUGCAGAUGAAUCUGAAGCUGGAAUAUCUUUGACUCUGUUACUGUAACAUUUAACUAUCCAAGCAGUCUGUGGUGCCUCUACCCUCUUUUUUUUUUUUAAUUAUUAUUAUUAUUGUUUUUAAUAUGUAUUAACCCCAUGUAAAACCAUGAAGCUGAUUCAGGUUGGGGAAAGAAGAGUAUCAGUUGCAACUAUUUUUCCAAGCCAGGAAUUCUCGAUGUUCUGUAGAACAGGUUUUGGGCAUGCGAAGAGAUGGUUGUCACCUUAUUGCUACGAGGCUGCCAAAGCGUCGGUCUGGAUUCCUGCAGGGACUUCGGGGUCAGGGUGGGGGGGCCUCUUUCCUUUUUUGGCUGUCGGUUUCUGUUCUAGUCAGAAUAACUAGCUCUAUAUAUAUUUUAUUUUUUGGUUUGGUCUUUGUAUAAUUCCGGUACAUCAUUGUGUAUUGUGACCUGGAUGCUGUCAGGAUGGAUGUCGAUGGCAUUUUUGUAACCUGUUGCUUUGUGUCACCUCAUUGGAAGUUAGCGGCAAUGGUACUCAAUGUAAACAAAGCAAACUU